rnacentral:rRNA from 1 species
CCUACGGGAGGCAGCAGUGGGGAAUUUUGGACAAUGGGCGAAAGCCUGAUCCAGCAAUGCCGCGUGAGUGAAGAAGGCCUUCGGGUUGUAAAGCUCUUUUGUCAGGGAAGAAACGGUGCGGGCUAAUAUCCUGCACUAAUGACGGUACCUGAAGAAUAAGCACCGGCUAACUACGUGCCAGCAGCCGCGGUAAUACGUAGGGUGCAAGCGUUAAUCGGAAUUACUGGGCGUAAAGCGUGCGCAGGCGGUUUUGUAAGUCUGUCGUGAAAUCCCCGGGCUCAACCUGGGAAUUGCGAUGGAGACUGCAAGGCUAGAAUCUGGCAGAGGGGGGUAGAAUUCCACGUGUAGCAGUGAAAUGCGUAGAGAUGUGGAGGAACACCGAUGGCGAAGGCAGCCCCCUGGGUCAAGAUUGACGCUCAUGCACGAAAGCGUGGGGAGCAAACAGGAUUAGAUACCCUGGUAGUCCACGCCCUAAACGAUGUCUACUAGUUGUCGGGUUUUAAUUAACUUGGUAACGCAGCUAACGCGUGAAGUAGACCGCCUGGGGAGUACGGUCGCAAGAUUAAAACCCAAAGGAAUUGACGGCUGAGACGNGCGAGACGACGACGAGGAGAGG